rnacentral:rRNA from 1 species
AGAGUUUGAUCCUGGCUCAGGACGAACGCUGGCGGCGUGCCUAAUACAUGCAAGUCGAGCGGGACUCUUCGGAGUCCAGCGGCGGACGGGUGAGUAACACGUGGGCAACCUGCCUGUAAGACUGGAAUAACACCGGGAAACCGGUGCUAAUACCGCAUACGAUCACGGAGUCUGCGGAUUUUGUGAUGAAAGGAGCAAUU